ACCUUGGCGGUAGUGGCGCGGCCGCGAUCGUUUUAUUAGAAACGCCACGUCAGCUUCCGUGGUAACGGAGACACCUCGGCAAUAACGCCGACAGCUCGUUACAACGUUGAUAAAGCGCCGCGUGGCGGCUAAGCCUCUACGACGCUACGACGACGACGACGACGACGACGACGACGACGAAGAUGGCGACAAAGACGACAACACACGACGAUCUAGCAGUGAAAACUUUGUCCCUGUUACACUGCCGAUCCCUCAAGCUGAGCCACAUCCAGCUACAACUUUCACAGCCCUCGUAACAUUAACGUACCGAUGCAAGUUCCGCGAGCACAUUUCUGCCAAACAUUUGCACGAGCACUGCCUCUGCGAGGACAUCAAAUAUUUGACAUUCGGAUCUACAUAUAUACAAUCUGCCACCCAGCUGUACGGUC
rnacentral:misc_RNA from 1 species